AGGCCUUCGGGUUGUAAAGUACUUUCAGCAGUGAGGAAGGAGGUAUCGUUAAUAGCGGUAUCUUUUGACGUUAGCUGCAGAAGAAGCACCGGCUAACUCCGUGCCAGCAGCCGCGGUAAUACGGAGGGUGCGAGCGUUAAUCGGAAUUACUGGGCGUAAAGCGCAUGCAGGUGGUUUGUUAAGUCAGAUGUGAAAGCCCGGGGCUCAACCUCGGAAUUGCAUUUGAAACUGGCAGGCUAGAGUACUGUAGAGGGGGGUAGAAUUUCAGGUGUAGCGGUGAAAUGCGUAGAGAUCUGAAGGAAUACCGGUGGCGAAGGCGGCCCCCUGGACAGAUACUGACACUCAGAUGCGAAAGCGUGGGGAGCAAACAGGAUUAGAUACCCUGGUAGUCCACGCCGUAAACGAUGUCUACUUGGAGGUUGUGGCCUUGAGCCGUGGCUUUCGGAGCUAACGCGUUAAGUAGACCGCCUGGGGAGUACGGUCGCAAGAUUAAAACUCAAAUGAAUUGACGGGGGCCCGCACAAGCGGUGGAGCAUGUGGUUUAAUUCGAUGCAACGCGAAGAACCUUACCUACUCUUGACAUCCAGAGAACUUAGCAGAGAUGCUUUGGUGCCUUCGGGAACUCUGAGACAGGUGCUGCAUGGCUGUCGUCAGCUCGUGUUGUGAAAUGUUGGGUUAAGUCCCGCAACGAGCGCAACCCUUAUCCUUGUUUGCCAGCGAGUAAUGUCGGGAACUCCAGGGAGACUGCCGGUGAUAAACCGGAGGAAGGUGGGGACGACGUCAAGUCAUCAUGGCCCUUACGAGUAGGGCUACACACGUGCUACAAUGGCGCAUACAGAGGGCGGCCAACUUGCGAGAGUGAGCGAAUCCCAAAAGUGCGUCGUAGUCCGGAUUGGAGUCUGCAACUCGACUCAUGAAGUCGGAUCGCUAGUAAUCGUGAAUCAGAUGUCACGGUGAAUACGUUCCCGGGCCUUGUACACACCGCCGUCACACAUGGGAGUGGGCUGCAAAGAGGCAGUAGUUAACUUCGGGAGGACCGCUUGCCACUUUGUGGUUCAUGACUGGGGGUGGAGUCGUAUACACAGGUUACCGAA
rnacentral:rRNA from 1 species